GGGCAGGAUAGGUGAAGUUAGCUAACCGGAAAGCCGGUUAUCUAUCUUCACUAUCCCCUUAUUCGCACUUCGUGCUCAACGGGGAAUCCUGCUCUGCGAGGCU
rnacentral:ncRNA from 4 species